UUAUUUUUCCUUGUCCUCGAGCAAGGUUUGCACGUAAACAUACCUGCAAAAAUUCUCUAAGGCACGGGCUCCCCCACCUCACAGGAUUUUUCAUUCGCGGGCAUCCCUUAGGCAUGCAAACCACUUGUUGUGAUUGUUCCGCCAAUGGGACACCAUUCACACCUAUACCCAAAGUCCUGUAGGCAAGCUUCUUUCUUCCUUAGCUAGGUGUUAGCAUACCAGCCUUCCCCUUCAGUCUUAUCGGCCAUCCAUAGCCUCUAACAACUCGGAUGUGUUGCAGGUAAUCCGAAGGCCAAGGAUGCUGCAAACUGGGGUAUAAAAUGCUGCCUCUUUUCUGCUUUCUUCUUCAAUUCUUCAUUCCUUCAAGCAAACAAAAAACAAGAGAGAGAGAGUCAAAUUUAGAGGGAAUCUAUUGAGAGAAAGAAACUGAAAACUAAGAGAAAACAUGCAGAAAAUAAAGUGUGAGCUUAUACGCGUGUUGUCCGGAGGAGAAAAUGAUCUCUUCCCUUCUUAGGUAAGCAUUUCCUUCUGUUUCAAGUAGAUUAGCUCUCCCUUCCAUUUAUUCACUCAUUCACUUUUAGCUAAACACAGAAAUCCUUCUUUUAGCUAUGACUAAAGCUUGUUCUGUAACCAGAACAGACCAAGUCAUACUAUUGAGGUAAGUGUGCUAUUCCUCCUCAAUCCUUGUUUUCUUUCAGUUAUUUCCUUGAUUUUCAGCGUAGGUUCUAGCUUGAAUUUAAAUCGAAUCCCAGCGAGUAAAAUAACCUAGAAUUCGCAGCUUUAACUUAAAAGCUCGACUAAUAUGACAACCACAGCACAGGCGUGUUGCUAGCUGUUCUUGUUACUUUUAAGUUGAUCUCCUCAUGCGUUUGGAGUGCUUAGAUCUUCUGCUUUAUGGUAGGAAUGGUGGUAAUUAGUUUUUACAAGCAUUUAGUUUUAUAGAUGCAUGUAGGAUGAUUAAAUCUUCAAAAAAUUGCAUGUGUUCUUACUAUUUUAAUUGAUGUAGAGAGUAUGUGUUUCAUGCAUGAUUUUGAUUAUUGUUUUUGCUGAUGAUUUUGAUGGAAUUUGAUUACUGAAAUGAUGUAUAACAUUAAGCAUAUGGAUUAAAAUGCUGAAACAAAAGCAAAAAUUGAAAAUAAUUAGCAAACAGAGGCCCAAUGCCUCUGUUUACGCUGCCUAGGCAAUAACGUGCCGACUAAUGGGGCAAACACGGGCUACCAUGCAUGAUGUUGCACGUGAGACAUUGUCCAGUCAUCCAAAAAUGUCAGAACAUUUCUCCUGGCACGUUACGUACACGCAACACGCUGCAGACAGUCGAAAAAGUUCUUGCCAGGUGCCCUUGCUGUGUAGAGAGGACUUGUGCGAGACAUUGUUUGUGUCGGGUGAUGUGCACGCAUACGCACAAGGACAUAUGCCCAGGUGCUGAAAGCACCAAG
rnacentral:lncRNA from 1 species